rnacentral:rRNA from 1 species
GACGAACGCUGGCGGCGUGCUUAACACAUGCAAGUCGAACGGAAAGGCCCUGCUUUUGUGGGGUGCUCGAGUGGCGAACGGGUGAGUAACACGUGAGUAACCUGCCCUUGACUUUGGGAUAACUUCAGGAAACUGGGGCUAAUACCGGAUAGGAGCUCCUGCUGCAUGGUGGGGGUUGGAAAGUUUCGGCGGUUGGGGAUGGACUCGCGGCUUAUCAGCUUGUUGGUGGGGUAGUGGCUUACCAAGGCUUUGACGGGUAGCCGGCCUGAGAGGGUGACCGGCCACAUGGGGACUGAGAUACGGCCCAGACUCCUACGGGAGGCAGCAGUGGGGAAUAUGGCACAAUGGGCGGAAGCCUGAUGCAGCAACGCCGCGGGCGGGAUGACGGCCUGCGGGUUGUAAACCGCUUUCGCCUGUGACGAAGCGUGAGUGACGGUAAUGGGUAAAGAAGCACCGGCUAACUACGUG